rnacentral:rRNA from 1 species
CCUACGGGUGGCUGCAGUGGGGAAUAUUGGGCAAUGGGCGCAAGCCUGAACCAGCAAAGCAGCGUGAAGGAUGAAGGCUUUCGGGUUGUAAACUUCUUUUGUCAGGGAAGUGUAGAAGACGGUGUCUGACGCUUAAGCUAUGGCUAACUACGUGCCAGCAGCUGCGGUAAUACGGAGGUGGCAAGCGUUAUCCGGGUUUAGUGGGUGUAACGGGCGUGUAGCCGGGUUGACAAGUCAGAUGUGAAAUCCUGCGGCUUAACCGUAGAACUGCAGUUGAAACUGGUGAUCUUGAGUACAGGAGAGGCAGACGGAAUUCGUAGUGUAGCGGUGAAAUGCGUAGAUAUUACGAGGAACACCAGUUGCGAAGGCAGUCUGCUGGACAGCAACUGACGGUGAUGCUCGAAAGCGUGGGGAGCAAACAGGAUUAGAUACCCGGGUAGUC